GAGGGUGUAGCUCAAUGGUAGAGCACUUGCCUAACAUACACAAGGUCCUGGUUCAAUCCCCAGUACCUCCA
rnacentral:tRNA from 1 species